CGUGUGUCGAGGAACUUUGACAAAAUCUGGAUAAAUAUUUGGGCAUUGAUAAUUUCUAAAUAUUUAUUGUGUUUGAGCAGCGAAAUGAUCGUGAAAUGAAGUGAAAUAUUACGCAAAUCUCGUUCAGAAUGGUGGAAAUUGUCACAUUCAGAGCAUUUCGUGACUUUGCAGGGUGAAUAUGCAAGAUACGCUGUGGAUUAGUGAUUGCACAUGGGUAAUGCAAUGGUGGCCACGUCUUGCCACCUGAACAACACCACUGCAGAAGAAGAACUCAGAAGAACUGAUUCGGAACCUCCUCGAAGCCGCCGCCUCCCGUGCGCUCCUCUUCCAGGCGUCUCACCACCGUGGCGCCGCUGCUCUCCACACGCGGCCAGGAGGCCCCAGAGAUGACCCACCUGAUGCACCGCGCUCGCUCCCUCACGUCCGUGAUGAUGGUGGAGGACCCCGCGGCGCGCACCGUGACGUCUUGGGCUGCCACCCUCACCAGCACCCACACAUUAGCGCCUCUCUACCCUCAGCCCGGCGACCACCACCAACACCACCUUCCCCCAGCGCGGCCACGCCCGCCUCCGCCGCGAGCACCUCACCACGCCCGCCGCCCACUCGGGGACGCAGCGCCGCUGGUCGCUGUCCCUGGAGGAGGACGUAACGCAGUACGUGGCGGAGGGGCGGGGGGCGGCUCGCCACGUGCAGGGCCGCGGUGUCAGGAACUACUACUACUCUGUGACACGCCCCAACCAGCGGCGCACCAGCGAGCGGGACGUAGCCCGCGCUGCCCUCGUCAACUGGGCGGCGAGCCAGAUGGCGCGGACCCCACCCACCCAUCUAUGAGGAGCGGAAAGACCAGCUGAGAGACGCCGCGCUGUCCCGCCGCAACCACACACUGCCGGUGCAGUGACUCAGACUAUUCCGUGGGCGGCCUCACUAGACAGGAUGGAUGGCCCGCCUCUCCCACGCCCAUCCGCCCACUGCCCACCACGCCCACGGCCCACACUGCUCCCUUCCACGCCGCCCUCAACACACCCAGCGGCUUGCACAACCUCAUGGCAAGGUUCGGAGGCCUCCAGAGAGCUGGCCAGAGUGAAGCUUGUGUUAUAGAGGAACAGCUGCUGAUCAUCAAGCUUAUUGAGUGACUGGAGGAAAGUGGAGGAGCCUGGAGGGAGUCGUGGAGGUACAGUACUUGGAGAAAAUCCCUCCACCAUGAUGACUGGGUGUCUACUGUACAGUCCACCGACCAAUGACGGUGACACGUGCCAGUGGAAGCUUAAUGGCUGCCGGCAGGUGCUCGUGAGGGCCAGAAACACUUAUAAUAUUGACAAGUGACCCACCUGCUGCUUGGCCACCUGGGGACUGCUCACACACGCCAUGGUGCAAUAGGAGACUACCCGAUCCCGUGCCUCCCGUCCUGCCCCACCCAGACACCAUGGCCCGGCAGCGACACCAUUCCACCUGCUACAUGAUGCUGGCUGACGCACUCCUGACGUGGCAGCGACAGGAGGCGGAGGGCAGGAGCAAGAGUCGGGUGGUGAAGGAAGGCGUGACGGAAGAGGUGGUGGCUGUGGAGGGUGUUCGUGCAGGGUAUCUCGGCAGGGUCUAAGUUAGAGCAAAUGGAUGAUGAGAGACUAGUAAGAAGGGUGUUUGUGUGGAAUAUUAGGAGUAGCAGUUGGGGGAAGAAGUGUGUUAGGAUGGUAGUAAAGAGUGGCUUGGAAACUAGUUGGGCUUUUGAGUGGUUGAGUGAAGGCUUGUUGAGAGUGACUGAAGUAUGAGUGUCAGAAAUGGAGAGGGUUUAGAAUGUUAUGUAAGUAAGUGGAGAAGUGAGGUAGACACAGCAAUGAAGCACAUGGGAUUGAGUGAGCCAGGUGUGGAAAUUGUGGGAUGGAGCGAGCCAGGUGUGGAAAAGUGUGGAAAUUGUGUUGAAAAAGUGUAGAAAUUGUGGGAUUGAGUGAGCCAGGUAUGGAAAUUGUGUAGAAAAGUGUGAAAAUUGUGGAAAAAGUGUGGGAAUUGUGUUGAAAAAGUGUAGAAAUUGUGGGAUUGAGUGAGCCAGGUGUGGAGGAGUGAGACAGACAGAGCCAUGAAGCACGUGGGGUUGAGUGAGCCAGGUGUGUCACUUGGGGACGACUGUGAGUCAACCCAGGCCAACAGCUGAUGACGCUCAAUGAUGGAAUUAGAAGCUGCAUGAAUUGUUUAUGUAGAUUUUAGAAGCUGUCUGAAUUGUUUAUGUAAAUCUGAAGCACUUACUUUGAAUUGAAGGCUUGGACCAUGUAAUAUCUUUGUAAUUCUUCUGUACCAUUGUCAUAAGUUCCUUAGAUAACUCACUACAGUUUUGUCUCUAUCUAAUAAUAUGUACAUUUACUCAAACUGCAUUUUCUUUCAGUGUGCAGGUUGGCAGUAAACCUCCCUGAAGGUUCCAGAGCUGCUCAGCAGGUGCCCAGUCCAGGCUGUCACAAGACUGUGUGAUGGUGGACCUUCCAAUGAUACUCACUGAAAACAGCUGUGCACUGCCACUCACAGGAAAUGAUUGAGUUGCCUUGAAGCUGAGAUGAGUUGGUCAGCUAGUGAGUGGCUUCAAUCAAGUGACUGUGAGGUGUUGGCUUCAAUAAAGUGACUGUGAGGUGUUGCCUUCAAUCAAGUGACUGUGAGGUGUUGGCUUCGAUCAAGUGACUGUGAGGUGUUGGCUUCGAUCAAGUGACUGUGAGGUGUUGGCUUCGAUCAAGUGACUGUGAGGUGUUGGGCAUGGUAUUGUGUUAUUGCAAGUGUAACCAUUAAUAAGUAAGUUCUUUCCUUAUAACUCUUCAUACAUGGAUUGCCAUACAUGGACGGAUAAGGCCCUUGUACAGAGUCAUCAGCUGGGGGUGAGAAAAACUGGUGGAGAUGUCUCAGAACGCCUAACUUCACAGAAGCUGUUUUAGCUAGAGAUGAAAUGUGAAGUUUCUAGUUUAGAUCAUAAGUAAAGGACAGACCAAGGAUGUUCAGUGUAGAAGAGGGGGACAGUUGAGUGUCAUUGAAGAAGAGGGGAUAGUUUGGAAGACUGUGUUGAGUUGAUAGAUGGAGGAAUUGAGUUUUUGAUGCACUGAACAAUACCAAGUUUGCUCUGCCCCAAUCAGAAAUUUUAGAGAGAUGAGAAGUGAGGUGUUCUGUGGCUUCCCUGUGUGAACUGUUUACUUCCUGAAGGGUUGGAUGUCUAUGAAAAGACAUGGAAAAGUGCAGGGUGAUGUCAUCAGCGUAGGAGUGGAUAGGACAAGAAGUAUGGGUUAGAAGAUCAUUAAUGAAUAAUAAGAGAGUGGGUGACAGGACAGAACCCUGAGGAACACCACUGUUAAUAGAUUUAGCAGAAGAACAGUGACCGUCUACCACAGCAGCAAUAGAAUGGUCAGAAAGGAAACUUGAGAUGAAGUUACAGAGAGAAGGAUAGAAACUGUAGGAGGGUAGUUUGGAAAUGAAAGCUUUGUGCCAGACUCUAUCAAAGGCUUUUGAUAUGUCCAAGGCAACAGCAAAAGUUUCACCAAAAUCUCUAAAAGAGGAUGACCAAGACUCAGUAAGGAAAGCCAGAAGAUCACCAGUAGAGCGGCCUUGACGGAACCCAUACUGGCGAUCAGAUACAAGGUUGUCAAGUGAUAGAUGUUUAAGAAUCUUCCUGUUGAGGAUAGAUUCAAAAACUUUAGAUAGGCAGGAAAUUAAAGCAAUAGGACUGUUGUUUGAGGGAUUAAAACUACUACUACUACUACUACUACUACUACUACUACUACUACUGCUACUACUACUACUACUACUACUACUACUACUACUACUACUACUACUACUACUACUACUACUACUACUACUACUCUCAUCUUGCCUGACUUCCAGACCAACAUUUACUGUGUAGAAAUGGCACAGUCUACUCCUUUAGUUCUUUUCCUUUCUAGAAUGUGCAUAUCAGUGUACCCUGUCGUGCCUCCCAUGCUGUGUAAUGCUGCAGUGUUGAUUGUGUGUGUGUGUUUCCCUCAGGUGGCACUGUGGAUAGCAAGCGGAAGAGGCCUUGGGAGACUUCCGUAAAUGAGGAGCAACAAGCACACCUCACUGGAGUCUUUCAGGAACCAACAGUCAGGGCUGAUGUGAAGGUGUCUGCAGCCAGUGUUUGGUCUCCUCUGUGCCUGGUGGUGGUGCCUCAUUGCAGGGCCUGAUGUGAAGGUGUCUGCAGCCAGUGGUGGUGCCUCAUUGCAGGGCUGAUGUGAAGGUGUCUGCAGCCAGUGGUGGGUGUCCUCUGUGCCUGGUGGUGCCUCAUUGCAGGGCCUGAUGUGAAGGUGUCUGCAGCCAGUGGUGGUGCCUCAUUGCAGGGCUGAUGUGAAGGUGUCUGCAGCCAGUGGUGGUGCCUCAUUGCAGGGCCUGACGUGAAUGUGUCUGCAGCCAAUGUUUGGUCUCCUCUGUGCCUGGUGGUGCCUCAUUGCAGGGCUGAUGUGAAGGUGUCUGCAGCCAGUGUUUGGUGUCCUCUCUUCCUGGUGGUGCAGCCUGAUGUGUUGCCUGCUUCAGUGUAAAUCUUGCAAGCCAGAUCUGCCAGGUGUCUCCAGUGUAGUAGUCUAGGGUGCUUUGCUUUGUGUCUUUGGCAAUAAAUAAAUUUGUGAGUAUCAUUCUCAUGUGAAUUAUAUAGUUUGAUAAAAUUACAGAAUGUGCUUGGGUAAACUAAAUUUAUAUAUUGGUGGUAAACAAUUCAUGCAUCCCCAAGUAAAUAAGUAAAAUAAAUAGGACCCAAAACAAUAGAUGCAAUAUAGAUCAUCCUCUGGUCAAAAAAAAAAAAAGCCAGGAUUGGCCCUUUUUUGGCUAAGUUUAAGGCGAAACUUGCACACAGAAGCCUUGUCCGAGCGACACCGGAGUCGCUCGGACAGGGCUUCUGUGUGCAAGUUUCACCUUAAACUUAAACCAUUUUUGGCUUUGACCAAAAAUGGGCCAAUCCUGGCUUUUUUUUUUUUGACCAGAGGAUGAUCAAUUGUUACUAGUAUUUUUUGCUUCCAUUUUUUUUUUUUUUUAUCAGGGCUAUGAACUGGUUACAUCAGAAAGCAGCUUAUUUGCAAUUUGUAAAAAGAUUUUAGUAUAUAAUUCCACAAGUAUGAACAAGAUGAUUAAAUAUAUUUGUUUAAAUCACAUUGCCAAAGUUUGUGAGGAGGCAUGAACUGUUACACCAGAAAGCUUGUUUAUUUGCAACUUGUUAGUAUAAUUCCCUAAGUAUGUACAAGAUAAUAUAUAUAUUGUUUAAUAAAUCAUUAUUGUUUAAUCAUUCCCUAAGUAUGUACAAGAUAAUAAUAUAUAUAUAUUGUUUAAUCACAAAAGUUUAAUAAAUACACAAUAGGAUAAA